UUACGACCGCCCAGACGCCAGGCGCAGUCCCCGCGGCGCGAAAAAGCUCUCAACUUUCGGGUCUCAGAAAGUCGCGAGCCUUCUCCACGCAACUGGCGACAGGAAAGAGAGACUUUUGAAACGACCGACUCCACCAAAAGCGCGACGCAUCGGUUCCGAGCCUCUGUACCCUUCUAGCGAGAAGGGCGGAAGUUGUUGGAAGGAGGCAUUUGAGUGGUGCACCGCCGGAAGUGAUGAGGCGCGGCGUUCAGAAUGGACAGAGCGCUGAAUAUCUAGGUUGUCUUUUGGAGGUACCUGGGCGUUCGCUGGAGUAGGCGAACGUUGCGACGGCAGGCCUCUGCAGACUUUGGGGAGGCCCGCACCUCCUGCUGUCAACAGGCAGGCAGGAAAAAGCCGGACUCCGGCAUGCGACUGAGUACCAGAGAAUAACAGUUUAGAGGGCCAAGAUGUUGUCCGUCUUGAGGAUAUUUGCAGUGAAUCAUAAGAAAAUGUCCAGGUUGCACAUUAAUAAUAUGUAUUGCUCCAAAAUAAGAGCAAAUUUAAAAAAAUUAAAGCCACAUGUGUCUAUUGGAAGACAUUACAGUUCCCUACCAGGUUUAAUAGGAAAUGAUAUCAAAUCCCUUCAAUCCAUCAUUAACCCUCCUAUAGCUAAAAUCCGUAAUAUUGGAAUUAUGGCUCAUAUUGAUGCAGGCAAAACUACCACCACAGAAAGAAUAUUGUACUAUUCUGGAUACACAAGAUCUCUGGGAGAUGUUGAUGACGGAGAUACAGUGACAGAUUUUAUGGCUCAAGAGCGAGAAAGAGGCAUUACUAUUCAAUCAGCUGCUGUUACAUUUGACUGGAAAGGGUAUAGAGUCAAUCUAAUUGAUACACCAGGUCAUGUGGACUUUACCUUGGAGGUUGAGCGCUGCCUAAGAGUGUUGGAUGGUGCAGUAGCUGUAUUUGAUGCCUCUGCUGGUGUAGAGGCACAGACUCUCACAGUAUGGAGGCAAGCUGAUAAACACAAGAUACCUCGAAUCUGUUUUUUAAACAAAAUGGACAAAACUGGAGCAAGUUUUAACUAUGCAGUUGAAAGCAUCAGAGAAAAGUUGAAGGCAAAGCCUUUGCUUUUACAGUUACCAAUUGGUGAAGCCAAGACUUUCAAAGGAGUGGUGGAUGUAAUCAGUAAAGAAAAACUUCUUUGGAACCCCAGUUCAGGUGAUGGAAAAGACUUUGAGAGAAAACCCCUCUCGGAAAUGAGUGAUCCUAAAUUGCUGAAGGAGACAACUGAAGCAAGGAACGCCUUAAUUGAACAAGUUGCAGAUUUGGAUGAUGAGUUUGCUGACCUGGUUUUAGGAGAAUUUAGUGAAAAUUUUGAUUUGCUACCAGCUGAAAAGCUACAGACUGCAAUACACAGAGUAACACUGGCUCAGACAGCAGUGCCUGUGCUCUGUGGAAGUGCCCUGAAAAACAAAGGGGUCCAGCCCUUGUUAGAUGCUAUUACUAUGUACCUGCCUUCGCCUGAAGAGCGCAACUAUGAAUUUCUGCAGUGGUAUAAGGGUGACUUAUGUGCACUGGCAUUUAAAGUUCUCCAUGACAAGCAGCGAGGACCACUGGUUUUUAUGCGCAUUUACUCAGGCAUGAUAAAACCCCAGUUGGCCAUCCAUAAUAUUAAUGGAAACUGCACGGAGAGAAUAAGUCGUCUGCUUUUGCCAUUUGCUGACCAACAUGUAGAAAUCCCUUCACUGACUGCUGGUAACAUUGCUUUGACUGUUGGGCUUAAACAUACUGCCACUGGAGACACCAUUGUCUCAUCCAAGUCCAGCGCAUUAGCUGCAGCUCGUCGAGCUGAAAGAGAGGGAGAAAAGAAGCAUAGACAAAACAGUGAAGCAGAGAGACUUUUAUUGGCUGGGGUUGAGAUUCCAGAACCUGUUUUCUUCUGUACCAUAGAACCCCCUUCUGUGUCUAAGCAGCCAGAUUUGGAUCAUGCAUUGAAAUGCCUUCAGCGUGAAGAUCCCAGUUUGAAAGUGAGGCUAGAUCCUGACUCGGGGCAAACUAUCCUGUGUGGCAUGGGGGAGUUACAUAUUGAGAUUAUUCAUGACCGAAUCAAGAGGGAAUAUGGACUGGAAACCUAUCUAGGGCCUCUCCAGGUGGCAUACCGAGAGACCAUCUUAAAUUCAGUUCGUGCCACAGAUACCUUAGAUAGAACUUUAGGAGACAAGCGGCAUCUUGUGACUGUGGAACUGGAAGCAAAGCCAAUUGAAACAUCAUCCGUUACGCCAGUUAUUGAGUACGCCGACAGUGUUAGUGAAGACAUUUUGAAGGCCUCGCAAGAGGCCAUUGAAAAUGGAAUUCACAGUGCAUGCCUCCAAGGACCAUUGCUUGGAUCCCCGAUUCAGGAUGUGGCAAUUACUUUACAUUCACUAAAAAUUCAUCCUGGUACCUCCUCAACUAUGAUUUCUGCCUGUGUCUCAAGAUGUGUACAAAAGGCUCUGAAGAAAGCUGAUAAGCAAGUAUUAGAGCCCCUGAUGAAUCUUGAGGUUACAGUGACUAGAGAUUACCUUAGCCCUGUCCUGGCAGACCUGGCACAACGAAGAGGGAACAUUCAGGAAAUCCAGACUCGUCAGGACAACAGAGUUGUUAUUGGAUUUGUUCCCUUAGCAGAAAUUAUGGGUUAUUCAACUGUGCUUCGAACGCUAACAUCAGGCUCAGCUACUUUCGCCUUAGAACUAUCUAAUUAUCAAGCCAUGAGUCCUCACGACCAAAGUACACUGCUCAGCCGAAGUGGCUUGACCUAAGUGCUUUAGGUCCUUGGAGAGAAAUUCAGGAGCACCUGCCUACUUUGUUUUCAAUCUUCUACCGUCAUGCUGUUUCAACCUCACGUAACCAUAAAUAGGUGAUAGAAGAUUCGCCAUGUAUUGACUAUUGAGGCUGGGUGAUGAGGACAUGGGGAUUCAUUAAAUUAUUCUCCUUCUGUUUAUGUUUAAAAUUUUCCAUAAUAAAAAGUAAAGCAAACAAAAACAGGAGUACUGCUCGCAUUUCAGCCUAUACUAUAUCAUAACAUUGGGGAAAGCUUUGGAAUUGUGGCCAGAAGAGGAAACCGUGAGUCCUGGCUCUGCCCCUUCCUAACUGCAACUUUAGACAAGGCAUCCAGCUUCUCCGGGUGUCAGUCAGUGUCUGCAUUUCAGGUGGACUAAAGUAGAUGAUACUGAGGCUUACUCCCAGGCCCACUGCUCUAUAAUAUAAUCAGCUGGAACACUCAGAGACUACUGCUUUUUUUCUAAGGAACUCUCAUUUCUCAAAUUCCCUACUUUAUGUAAUUUUUCAGAGAGAAAAAGCAAGUCAUUUAUACAACUCAAAAUAAUUAUUUAAAACAAAUAUACAGUCGGACUACCCCAUAAAUAUAAUCACUUAAACUUAUAUGAAUCAUGAAUGCUUUAAGUCUCUUACAUGUAUUAAGUUUUAAAAUUUUUAUUUAAAUAGCCCCUAGAAAUUGUUUACAUUUAUAAUAACAUAAUUAUAAAAACAGAACAGUUUUAUGGAUCUAAAAUGCUAUGCCACAGCCUAUUAAAAAACACUUAAAACCACAAACAUCUAACUUUUACACUUUAAUUCUAUCCAUAAGAAACAUUUAAGCUACCGACUUCUAAUGAAACUACCAAAAAUUGUUGU